AUUAAAUAUAUAUCAAUUUUAGGAAUAAAAAAAUAACAUCAAAAUAUUUUAAAAUGUAUUAAAAAAAUUAAGAUGAACUUCAUUGUGAAUAAAAAUAAACAGUACACUAUUUGUUUUCAUAUUUAUAAACUUUAUAUACAUUAAAUAUUAAUUUACAUUUAUAUUGGGACCAUCCAUUUACAUAAUUUUUUAAAAAAUUUGUUAUUUAUUAUCCUAGUGGAUUGUAUCAUAUUUUGCAUUGGUCCAGUUCAGAACUCAAAAAAUUAUUAAUUUCUCAUAUUUAUUAAUCUAUCAAAUAUUAUUUAUAGAGUUUCUACUGUAUUUUCUAUGUACUCUCAAAAUUUGAACUCUGAACCAUCGGCCGAUAGUCUUUUUUUUUUCAACACAAAGAAGAAUCCAAGCCCGCUAGCCAAAACGGUGGAACUGAAUCGACAUAAACCAUAGCUGAAUGUAGAUUUCUAGCAUCAUGUGUUAACUUGUGAGUCUUUGUAUUUUGUGUCCUUGGCAUAUGUUGGAUGACAAAGUUGGAGAAGAAGCGCUUACAUCGUAGGAACUCUUCUAUAUGUGUAGUGAACGCCGGUCAUUCUGUUGGUGUAGCCACCAUUUUCACUAGUUGACAACAAUUUGUUGCAAACACCACUUCUAAAUUCUGAAAGAUUUUCAUGCAUUUCAUCGCCCAAAUCAGUGCUUCACAUUCAACAUGCAAAAGUGAUAGAUUAAACUUAUGCGGGUAUUCAUAGUCUCUUAGUAUAUUUUGGAUUAAACUUUCACCAGUUAUGGUUUAUAGAAGAACAAAAAAAAUUAUACCCAAAGUUAUGAAAAACUAAACAUGUUGUACUAAACAUUAAACUACAAAAUUUUGAAUAUAUAUUUUAUAUUUUAGAUAGAUUUGUCAAAAUUAUUAUUUAUUUUCAUAAUUAACAUUUUGUUUUAAAUGAUGUAUUUGUAAAUAACAGUUAAAAAUUUCUCAAAAUAUAAAAUAUUUUAAAAUUUAUGUAAUAUGACUUUAAAAAUCUAUAAGCCUCAUUAGCUUUGACGAGUCUAGUUAUAUAACUACUAUUACUAAAUUAAACACCUUUUCAUUCCAAAUUAACACACAAAGAAGAAGUGAUCAAAAUAGUAUUAAGAAAAAUUUAAAGCCAUUUUUAUUUUAUAUUUAGGUUUGAGUUUAGUGAUUAGUAUUAAGGCUUUUUUUUUGGGAUGGAGUUAGGGUGUAUUUAGGGUUUGGAGUAAUUUAAUCAUUUCAUCUUUUAUUAGUGCUAAUUUAGUCAUUUUCUCUUUGUGAGCUAUUUUUUUCAUAAUUGUUUUUAUGCUAUCUAAUAUUUGUUCUUAUAAAUAAUAGAUAUGUCAUUUUUACAUUUCUUAUUCUUCUUUUCAAAGCAUUAGAAUUUUGUAAUAACUUAUAUUCAAUAGUUAAGUUAUUAAUUAUUUUUUUAAUCAGCGACUCUAAUUUUAUUUUAAGUCAAAAUUUAAUGUCAAACAAUAUAAAAAGUUAUAAAAAUUUAUGUUUACUAUAGAUUUAUGUUUUACCUAAUAAAUAAAAUUUUAUUUUUCUUUUAAUUGUGACCCGAGCAUUUGUUUUUUUUUUAAGUUUAGUUCUGUUAUGACUAAUUUAAUACCAGAUGUAUAAUUCAAACAAUAAAAAUUAAAAUAUUUGAUCAGAACUGUACAUCACUAAAUAAAUCAAACUUUGUAAUUUUUGGUUAUUAUUACGUAAUUGAGAUCCUAAUCAAAAAGUUAUCAAUUUAAUUGUUUAUACAGCUUCAUACUGAUGAAUAUCUCAAUUUGUUACCUUAGCCAAAACCAAAUUUUAUAAGAGUUUGUAAAAAUUCCAAAAUGUAUUUACAAAUCAAAUAAAAAUAAACGAAGUAAUUAAAUAAAUUAACAAAAUUAAUCUGAUUUAGCUUAACUGUAACGAAAAUGUAAUGGUGCAAUUCAGAGAAACUGCUUCAAUCCAAUAUACCUAAAAUGAAUAAGUAAACUUAUCUGAAUUUCUAUACCCGAAAACAUGUCCAAUGAAGAUAAUAAUCUAAAUUAUCUAAAAUAAUCUUCUAUUUAGAUUUGAUACAUAUAAACUAUAAAAUGCACUAAAAUUUCUAAGUAAAUACAAACCAAAUAUUAAUUAAUUACUACAAUUCUAUUUUAUAAAUACUCAUUUCAAUAUAUGAAAUUUUAAAUUUUUAUUUUUAUUUACGCUUAUGAACUUUCGAACCCAUCUACACUUUAUUUAAUUUUGGUUUCUAUUUUAUUUUAUUUUGAAACAACAUAUAUCCAAGUAUGAAGAACUAUAUGAAAAUAUUUACUAAUCUAAAAAUUUUAAAUCAAACUAAGUGUAACUAAAAGAAUUAAUUAAUUUUUAACAUAAUUAAAACAAACAAUUAUUGUUACAUUUUGAAUAAUAUAUGCAAUUCACUACUCCGAAACAGAAUAAUAGAAGUUAUGUGAAUUAUUAUAUUUGAAAUAACAUGUCUAACUAAGAUAACACUAAAGUAACAUUUUAUACAAAUUUAGUUAAUUUUAUACAUAUAAUUAUAAACUAAUUAAAAUAUUAAAUAAAUUAAAUUAAAGUAUUAAAUAAUUAUUAUAUUUUAUCUAUUUUAUAAAUAUUUAUAUCUGUGCAUGUCACAUAGUUAAUAAGUUGCAAAACAAGUCUUCUUUUGUAGGAAAUUUAUUGAAUGAUAUGAAUUUCAAAAUAGUUUACUUUAAAAUAUUUAAAGUCUUUGUUAGGAAAUAUAUUAAUUUUAUUAAGAUGAUAAUGGUAAAACUUGGCUUUUUGUAUUUUUCACUGAACUCUGUUAAUUUCCUUUCACAUAACAAUAUUUUGAACAUUUCAGCAAGAUUAAAUAACAUUAACAUUUGAUAGAACUAAGAAUUUAAUAAAUUAAAAUACUAUAAUUUAAAGUAUUUCAAAAGAAUGACUACAAAUACUCAGAAUCUAAAGUUUCAAAAAUAAUAAUUCUCAAAAUUUAAAAAUAUAUGAAUACAUUAUUGAAUAACAUUAUAAUUUAAAUAGAAAGCUUAAUUCCAUCAAAUUUAAUAAAUUCCUUAAUUGAAUAUCUAGUGUUUUAUAAUCCUAGCUGGGUUAUUUAUACUACGGAUCAAAAAGAUACUUUGCAAAAUCAAAAUGAUUAUUUUUUAAUCAUUUACCUCAUAACAGUUUUUUAUGGAAGUUACUUGAUGAAAACUUGGAAAA